GAUGAACGCUGGCGGCGUGCCUAAUACAUGCAAGUCGAGCGAACAGACGAGGAGCUUGCUCCUCUGACGUUAGCGGCGGACGGGUGAGUAACACGUGUAUAACCUCCCUAUAAUACUGGGAUAACUUCGGGACACCGGAGCUAAUACCGGAUAAUAUAUUGAACCGCAUGGUUCAAUAGUGAAAGACGGUUUUGCUGUCACUUAUAGAUGGAUCCGCGCCGCAUGAGCUAGUUGGUAAGGUAACGGCUUACCAAGGCAACGAUGCGUAGCCGACCUGUGAGGGGGGUCGGCCACACUGGAAGUGAGACACGGUCCAGACUCCUACGGGAGGCAGCAGUAGGGAAUCUUCCGCAAUGGGCGAAAGCUUGACGGAGCAACGCCGCGUGAGUGAUGAAGGUCUUCGGAUCGUAAAACUCUGUUAUUAGGGAAGAACAAAUGUGUAAGUAACUAUGCACGUCUUGACGGUACCUAAUCAGAAAGCCACGGCUAACUACGUG
rnacentral:rRNA from 1 species